AUUUUUGUAUUUUUUUUUUUUAGUAGAGACGGGGUUUCGCCAUGUUGGUCAGGCUGGUCUCAAACUCCUGAGCUCGUGAUCCACUCACCUCGGUCUCCCAAAGUGCUGGGAUUACAGGCGUGAGCCACCGCGCCCGGCAUCCCUGUACCUUUCUAAAUGGGGGCGAGUUGAGGCUGUCUGAAUCCCAGCCCAUCCAGCCCAUCAUUCAAGUCAGUCCUAGAGAGGUGGCCCCCCAAAAAGCAAAAAGGGGAGUGGAACCCAGCUGUCUGCCUUCUGGGUUGGAGCUUGGAGAUAGGAGAGAAGGUCUGAUCUGUUGACUACUUUUCACCCCGACCUGGUCUUCCUGGGGCCUGCUCGUAUGUUCCCGGCAGCUUUCUGGUAAACUUACAGUACCGCCGUCUCUACCGAAGCAUGAACUCCCAGUAUCUGAAGCUGCUUAGCUCACAGAAAUACCAGAUCCUGUUAUAUAAUGGAGAUGUAGACAUGGCCUGCAAUUUCAUGGGGGAUGAGUGGU
rnacentral:sRNA from 1 species